UACGUAGGGUGCAAGCGUUGUCCGGAAUUAUUGGGCGUAAAGAGCUCGUAGGCGGUCUGUCGCGUCGGCUGUGAAAACUCGAGGCUCAACCUCGGGCUUGCAGUGGAUACGGGCAGACUAGAGUGCGGUAGGGGAGACUGGAAUUCCUGGUGUAGCGGUGAAAUGCGCAGAUAUCAGGAAGAACACCGAUGGCGAAGGCAGCUCCUCUGGGACGGUACUGGACGCUGAG
rnacentral:rRNA from 1 species